rnacentral:rRNA from 1 species
GAGUUUGAUCCUGGCUCAGAUUGAACGCUGGCGGCAUGCCUUACACAUGCAAGUCGAACGGCAGCACGGGAGCUUGCUCCUGGUGGCGAGUGGCGAACGGGUGAGUAAUGCAUCGGAACGUAUCCUGGAGUGGGGGAUAACGUAGCGAAAGUUACGCUAAUACCGCAAAUUCUGUGAGCAGGAAAGCGGGGGACCUUCGGGCCUCGCGCUCUUGGAGCGGCCGAUGUCGGAUUAGCUAGUUGGUGAGGUAAAGGCUCACCAAGGCGACGAUCCGUAGCAGGUCUGAGAGGAUGAUCUGCCACACUGGAACUGAGACACGGUCCAGACUCCUACGGGAGGCAGCAGUGGGGAAUUUUGGACAAUGGGGGCAACCCUAAUCCAGCCAUGCCGCGUGAGUGAAGAAGGCC